CGUAUCACCCAAGACAACUUUACGGAGUUGACGAUUGACGGAGCGAAGCGACGUCAAAGCGUUCAUUAAAGUCGAGUUGGCUUAGGGAUACGUUCGUUGGGUAGGGGAGCGUUCUGUAAGCCUGUGAAGGUGUGUCGUGAGGCAUGCUGGAGGUAUCAGAAGUGCGAAUGCUGACAUAAGUAACGAUAAAGCGGGUGAAAAGCCCGCUCGCCGGAAGACCAAGGGUUCCUGUCCAACGUUAAUCGGGGCAGGGUGAGUCGACCCCUAAGGCGAGGCCGAAAGGCGUAGUCGAUGGGAAACGGGUUAAUAUUCCCGUACUUGGUGUUACUGCGAAGGGGGGACGGAGAAGGCUAUGUUGGCCGGGCGACGGUUGUCCCGGUUUAAGCGUGUAGGUGUGUGUUCCAGGUAAAUCCGGUUCACUUUAACACUGAGGCGUGACGACGAGGCACUACGGUGCUGAAGCAACAAAUGCCCUGCUUCCAGGAAAAGCCUCUAAGCAUCAGGUAACAUCAAAUCGUACCCCAAACCGACACAGGUGGUCAGGUAGAGAAUACCAAGGCGCUUGAGAGAACUCGGGUGAAGGAACUAGGCAAAAUGGUGCCGUAACUUCGGGAGAAGGCACGCUGACACGUAGGUGAAGUGAUUUACUCAUGGAGCUGAAGUCAGUCGAAGAUACCAGCUGGCUGCAACUGUUUAUUAAAAACACAGCACUGUGCAAACACGAAAGUGGACGUAUACGGUGUGACGCCUGCCCGGUGCCGGAAGGUUAAUUGAUGGGGUCAGCGCAAGCGAAGCUCCUGAUCGAAGCCCCGGUAAACGGCGGCCGUAACUAUAACGGUCCUAAGGUAGCGAAAUUCCUUGUCGGGUAAGUUCCGACCUGCACGAAUGGCGUAAUGAUGGCCAGGCUGUCUCCACCCGAGACUCAGUGAAAUUGAACUCGCUGUGAAGAUGCAGUGUACCCGCGGCAAGACGGAAAGACCCCGUGAACCUUUACUAUAGCUUGACACUGAACAUUGAGCCUUGAUGUGUAGGAUAGGUGGGAGGCUUUGAAGUGUGGACGCCAGUCUGCAUGGAGCCGACCUUGAAAUACCACCCUUUAAUGUUUGAUGUUCUAACGUGGACCCGUUA
rnacentral:rRNA from 1 species